rnacentral:tRNA from 1 species
GUUACUGUAGCUUAACUAAAAGCAUGGUAUUGAAGAUACCAAAAUGGGUACUUACCUUUCCCCAGGAACA